GACGAACGCUGGCGGCGUGCUUAACACAUGCAAGUCGAACGGAAAGGCCCUGCUUUUGUGGGGUGCUCGAUUGGCGAACGGGUGAGUAACACGUGAGUAACCUGCCCUUGACUUUGGGAUAACUUCAGGAAACUGGGGCUAAUACCGGAUAGGAGCUCAUGCUGCAUGGUGGGGGUUGGAAAGUUUCGGCGGUUGGGGAUGGACUCGCGGCUUAUCAGCUUGUUGGUGGGGUAGUGGCUUACCAAGGCUUUGACGGGUAGCCGGCCUGAGAGGGUGACCGGCCACAUUGGGACUGAGAUACGGCCCAGACUCCUACGGGAGGCAGCAGUGGGGAAUAUUGCACAAUGGGCGGAAGCCUGAGGCAGCAACGCCGCGUGCGGGAUGACGGCCUUCGGGUUGUAAACCGCUUUCGCCGGUGACGAAGCGUGAGUGACGGUAAUGGGUAAAGAAGCAACGGCUAACUACGUG
rnacentral:rRNA from 1 species